GACGGAAGGUGCAAGCGUUGCUCGGAAUCACUGGGCGUAAAGGGUGCGUAGGCGGCCGUGCAAGUCUGGCGUGAAAGCCCCGGGCUCAGCCCGGGAAGUGCGCUCGAAACUGCGCGGCUCGAGUGCCGGAGGGGAGAGUGGAAUUCCUGGUGUAGCGGUGAAAUGCGUAGAUAUCAGGAGGAACACCAGUGGCGAAGGCGGCUCACUGGUCCGGUACUGACGCUGAGGUGCGAAAGCGUGGGGAGCAAACAGG
rnacentral:rRNA from 1 species